GGUAUGGGAUGAGCUUGCGUCCGAUUAGCUAGUUGGCGGGGCAACGGCCCACCAAGGCGACGAUCGGUAGCCGGCCUGAGAGGGUGAUCGGCCACAUUGGGACUGAGAUACGGCCCAGACUCCUACGGGAGGCAGCAGUAGGGAAUAUUGCACAAUGGGGGAAACCCUGAUGCAGCAACGCCACGUGUGGGAAGAAGCAUUUCGGUGUGUAAACCACUGUCGUGAGGGAAUAAGGCGUCUUCUCGGAGGCGUUGAAUGUACCUCGAAAGGAAGCACCGGCAAACUUCGUGCCAGCAGCCGCGGUAAUACGAGGGGUGCAAGCGUUGUUCGGAAUCACUAGGCGUAAAGGGAGCGUAGGCGGAGAUGCAAGCGGACUGUACAAUACCGGGGCCCAACCCCGGGCCUGCAGUUCGGACUGCACCUCUUGGAUAGUUCAGGGGCAGGC
rnacentral:rRNA from 1 species